CUAGUAACGGCGAGUGAAGAGGGAAGAGCCCAAGAUUGAAAGCUGGCGUCUUCGGCGUCCGCAUUGUAAUCUCAAGAAGUGUUUUCCGCUACGGACCAAGCCUAAGUCUCCUGGAAAGGAGCAUCAUAGAGGGUGAUAAUCCCGUACAUGGCUUGGAGCGCCCGCAGCUUUGUGAUACAUUUUCUAAGAGUCGAGUUGUUUGGGAAUGCAGCUCAAAAUGGGUGGUAAAUGCCAUCUAAGGCUAAAUAUUGGGGAGAGACCGAUAGCGAACAAGUACAGUGAUGGAAAGAUGAAAAGAACUUUGAAAAGAGAGUUAAACAGUACGUGAAAUUGCCAAAAGGGAAGGGUAGGAGGUCAGAGAUGCUUUUGGGGAUUCAGCCUUGCUUUUGCAUGGUGUUUUUCCCCUCGGGCAGGCCAACGUCGGUUUUGGGCACUGGAGAAGGGUGGAAGGAAUGUGGCAUCCCUCGGGAUGUGUUAU
rnacentral:rRNA from 1 species